GGUCUUAUGGGUGUAAUGGUUAGCACUCUGGACUCUGAAUCCAGCCGAUCCGGGGUUCAAAUCCCGGUAGGACCU
rnacentral:tRNA from 1 species